rnacentral:lncRNA from 1 species
UCUUGAUCUGGGUAGAGGUUACGUGCAUGCGAGACGCAUUGGAAUAAUUCAUUAGAUUGUGUCUGCAUAUUUUAAGCAUUUUUCUUUAUGUGAACUUUUCCACACUGAACGAAAAAGAAGAAUGUGCUACCCACACAAGCCUGGUCCUCCCCCAUUCUCUAUCAUUUCAGUAAUUGGUGGUGCCACCAUCCCUGCAGUUGAAAGGGAUUCAGGGUGGCUUGCAAAAAUAUUGACUAUGCAACAAGAAUAAUAAGUAGGGAAAAUAAGAACAGGAAAAGUUAAAGCCAAGAUCAAGAUGGCCCACAGCCUGUGGAUGAGAAGCAGAGCUGGCUGGACUCCUGGAAGCUGGUGCGAGAGGCAAAGGGGACCGUUCUUUCCUCAUCUCUGAGCAGGCGCUGGGGCACCAUGGGGGCAAGUCCAACAGCAGUUGGAUGACAAAGAAAUAAAUACACAAGCAAGGUCCUGUUGGUUCUAUGUCUUUCCUGUCCUCCGAAAGGUUAAAUGAGCCGCCUAGAGUAACACAGCUGAUUACGGCAAGCUGGGCCAAGAAAACAAGUUUCUGAAUA